AAGUCGUAACAAGGUAACCGUAGGUGAACCUGCGGUUGGAUCAUUAACAAAAUUAGAAGGGUUGUCCAAAAGACGACCAUUUCUUAACAAAUGUGAACAGUUUAUGUCUCUGGUGGGUUAAAAUAUUAGUUAGCUAAUAGGCCAUUAGGUCACCCACUGAUAACUUAACAUAAUAAUAUUAAAAGUCAUUAAAAGUUAUUUAAAAUCUUUUACAACUUUUGGCAACGGAUCUCUAGGCUCUC
rnacentral:misc_RNA from 1 species